CCUACGGGGGGCAGCAGUGAGGAAUAUUGGUCAAUGGCCGCAGGGCUGAACCAGCCAAGUCGCGUGAGGGGUGACGGUCCUAUGGAUUGUAAACCUCUUUUGUCAGGGAGCAAAGGGCGCCACGUGUGGCGCUUUGCGAGUACCUGAAGAAAAAGCAUCGGCUAACUCCGUGCCAGCAGCCGCGGUAAUACGGAGGAUGCGAGCGUUAUCCGGAUUUAUUGGGUUUAAAGGGAGCGUAGACGGUAAUGCAAGUCUGGAGUGAAAGGCGGGGGCCCAACCCCCGGACUGCUCUGGAAACUGUGUAA
rnacentral:rRNA from 1 species